rnacentral:rRNA from 1 species
UAGGGAAGGCAGCAGUGGGGAAUAUUGCACAAUGGGCGCAAGCCUGAUGCAGCCAUGCCGCGUGUAUGAAGAAGGCCUUCGGGUUGUAAAGUACUUUCAGUCGUGAGGAAGGUGUUAAGGUUAAUAACCUUAGCAAUUGACGUUAGCGACAGAAGAAGCACCGGCUAACUCCGUGCCAGCAGCCGCGGUAAUACGGAGGGUGCGAGCGUUAAUCGGAAUUACUGGGCGUAAAGGGCACGCAGGCGGUUAAUUAAGUUGGAUGUGAAAUCCCCGGGCUUAACCUGGGAAUGGCAUUCAAGACUGGUUAGCUAGAGUCUUGUAGAGGGGGUAGAAUUCCAUGUGUAGCGGUGAAAUGCGUAGAGAUGUGGAGGAAUACCGGUGGCGAAGGCGGCCCCUGGGACAAAGGACUGACGCUCAUGUGCGAAAGCGUGGGGAGCAAAC